rnacentral:lncRNA from 1 species
UUAAGUUUUAAAGCAUUUCACUUCCAAACAACCACCCAGAAUCCAUCUAUGAACUUCACUCAAACUUUCCUAAGUCCUAACUCACCUUCCCUGAGCCUCACCUGAGCUGAGCUAAGUCAUCGGAACACCACUCCGAGAUCGAUUCCAAUCAGGUAGUUCCACUCACCCUCAUCACUCAAAUGAGUUACCAUUCGACUCGAAAUUCCUCCCUGAUCAUUAACCCCGUACUUUUAACUUUGAUUAACCAAUAUUCACCAUUUAAUUUUAGAUUAGGUC